GGUCGACGGUAUCGAUAAGCUUGCCAUGGGUACGGGGAGCAGCAGGCGCGAAACCUUUACACUGCACGCCAGUCGGAUAAGGGGACCCCGAGUGCGAGGKCAUACAGUCCUCGCUUUUCGUGACCGUAAGAWGGUCUCAGAACAAGUGCUGGGCAAGACCGGUGCCAGCYGCCGCGGUAAUACCGGCAGCACGAGUGAUGACCGCUGUUAUUGGGCCUAAAGCGUCCGUAGCUGGCCGCGCAAGUCUAUCGGGAAAUCUCUUCGCUUAACGGAGAGGCGUCCGGUGGAAACUGUGUGGCUUGGGACCGGAAGACCAGAGGGGUACGUCUGGGGUAGGAGUGAAAUCCCGUAAUCCUGGACGGACCACCGGUGGCGAAAGCKCCUCUGGAAGACGGAUCCGACGGUGAGGGACGAAAGCUCGGGUCACGAACCGGAUUAGAUACCCGGGUAGUCCGAGCUGUAAACGAUGUCUGCUAGGUGUGACACAGGCUACGAGCCUGUGUUGUGCCGUAGGAAGCCGUGAAGCAGACCGCCUGGKAAG
rnacentral:rRNA from 1 species